UGCGUAACAGCUCACUGGUCGAGUGGACAUGCGCCGACAAUACACGGGGCUAAGCUGGACACCGAAGCGGCGGGAUUUUAAUUCAUUAGAAUCGGUAGGGGAGCUUCCCAUGGGCGGAGAAGCCGGAGGGCGACCGACGGUGGAGCGCAUGGGAGUGAGAAUGCUGGCAUGAGUAGCGAGAGACGAGAGAGUAACUCGUCCGCCGUGAACCCGAGGUUUCCUGGGCAAGGCUAAUCCUCCCAGGGUCAGUCGGGGGCUAAGGCGAGGCCGGGAGGCGUAGCCGACGCGCAGCAGGCAGACAUUCCUGCACCGCGCACGCGGCGCUACGACCGACGGGGCGACGGAUGGGGGUGGCUCGGCGGGGUUCUGGACGUCCCCGUGAUGGAGCGCGGCCCGCGGACCAGGGAAAUCCGGUCCGCAUUGAGGGCGAGGCUCCGGACGAAGCGACUGAGCGAAGCGAGUGAGCCCGAGGUCCCUAGAAAAACCCCUAGGCAGGCGCGUGCGCGCCCGUACCGCAAACCGACACAGGUGGGUGGGUAGAACAUACCGAGGCGAUCGGGUCAACCAUGGUCAAGGAACUCGGCACAAUGGCCCCGUAACUUCGGGAGAAGGGGUGCCCGCGCGUACGUGAACCGGCUUGCCCGGGGAGCGGAGGCGGGCCGCAGUGGAGAGGCCCAAGCGACUGUUUACCAAAAACACAGGACUCUGCAGAAGCCGCAAGGCGACGUAUAGGGUCUGACGCCUGCCCGGUGCCGGAAGGUCACGCGGAGGAGUUAGCCGAUUCGGCGAAGCCCCGAAGCCAAGCCCCGGUAAACGGCGGCCGUAACUAUAACGGUCCUAAGGUAGCGAAAUUCCUUGUCGGGUAAGUUCCGACCUGCACGAAAGGCGCAACGACUUGGGCGCUGUCUCGACCAUGGACCCGGUGAAAUUGCACUGGUCGUGAAGAUGCGACUUACCCGCGGAAGGACGGAAAGACCCCGUGAACCUUCACUGCAGCUUGGCAUUGGCCGCUGGUCCCGCGUGUAGAGGAUAGGCAGGAGGCACAGAUCCGGAGGCGCCAGCCCCCGGGGAGCCGCCCUUGGAAUACUGCCCUCGCGCGACCGGCGUCCUAACCCGAGGCCGUCAACCGGCUCGGGGACCGUGCCAGGCGGGCAGUUUGACUGGGGCGGUCGCCUCCUAAAGGGUAACGGAGGCGCGCGAAGGUCCGCUCGGGACGGUCGGCAACCGUCCUUUUGAAUGCAAGAGUACAAGCGGGCUUGACUGCGAGGCCCACAAGCCGAGCAGGUGCGAAAGCAGGCUCUAGUGAUCCGGCGGCCCCGAGUGGGUGGGCCGUCGCUCAACGGAUAAAAGGUACUCCGGGGAUAACAGGCUGAUCUUGCCCA
rnacentral:rRNA from 1 species